UACAGAGGGUGCAAGCGUUGUUCGGAAUUAUUGGGCGUAAAGCGCGUGUAGGCGGCUUUGCAAGUCGGGUGUGAAAGCCCUCAGCUCAACUGAGGAAGGGCGCCCGAAGCUGCAGAGCUUGAGUACCGGAGAGGGUGGCGGAAUUCCCCAAGUAGAGGUGAAAUUCGUAGAUAUGGGGAGGAACACCGGUGGCGAAGGCGGCCACCUGGACCGGCAUUGACGCUGAGGAGCGAAAGCCAGGGGAGCAAACGGG
rnacentral:rRNA from 1 species